UAGUCAUCAGUCAAAUAUAUGUGAACUUUAAGCAUAAGAAACUGUACACACUAUUUUUAUGAUUCGUGGCCUACGUGCUUAUCACAAAACAACCUGAUUGUAUAUUCACCGGCAGUCCGGCACACGCCAAUCUGAUCUCCCUGCGCCCUUGGAUAGGAAUCAACAGUUGAACUUUUUUCUCGCAAUCUUUUGCAUCGAUCUUUUUCCUUCUUUUCCCGGCUGUACAACUACUACGCGUCAGGCGUCAC
rnacentral:lncRNA from 1 species